rnacentral:rRNA from 1 species
GACGGGGCCCGCACAAGCGGUGGAUUAUGUGGAUUAAUUCGAUGCAACGCGAAAAACCUUACCUGGCCUUGACAUGUAGCGAACUUUCCAGAGAUGGAUUGGUGCUCGAAAGAGAACGCUAACACAGGUGCUGCAUGGCUGUCGUCAGCUCGUGUCGUGAGAUGUUGGGUUAAGUCCCGCAACGAGCGCAACCCUUGCCAUUAAUUGCCAUCAUUUAGUUGGGGCACUUUAAUGGGACUGCCGGUGACAAACCGGAGGAAGGUGGGGAUGACGUCAAGUCCUCAUGGCCCUUAUGGCCAGGGCUUCACACGUAAUACAAUGGUCGGUACAGAGGGUUGCCAAGCCGCGAGGUGGAGCCAAUCCCAGAAAACCGAUCGUAGUCCGGAUUGCAGUCUGCAACUCGACUGCAUGAAGUCGGAAUCGCUAGUAAUCGCGGAUCAGCAUGUCGCGGUGAAUACGUUCCCGGGCCUU